rnacentral:rRNA from 1 species
UCUCAGAAUGAACGCUGAUGGCAUGCCUUACACAUGCAAGUCGAACGGACACUAUCUAGCUUGCUGGAGAAAUGUUAGUGGCAAACGGGUGAGUAAUGCAUAGGAAUCUGUCCUGUAGUAAAGAAUAACGUAUGGAAACAUACGCUAGUACUGUAUACUACCUAGUGCUUGAUUGUACUAGGGAAAGGCUUCGGCCGCUACUUGAGGAGCCUAUGUCGGAUUAGUUAGUUGGUGGGGUAAAAGCCUACCAAGACUGUGAUCUGUAGCUGGUCUGAGAGGAUGAUCAGCCACGUUGGGACUGAGACACGGCCCAAACUCCUACGGGAGGCAGUAGUGGGGAAUAUUGGACAAUGAGCGAAAGCUUGAUCCAGCAAUGCCACGUGAGUGAUGAAGGCUUUCGGGUCGUAAAGCUCUUUCAGUGAGGAAGAUAAUGACGGUACUCACAGAAGAAGGACCGGCUAACUCCGUGCCAGCAGCCGCGGUAAUACGGAGGGUUCUAGCGUUGUUCGGAUUUAUUGGGCAUAAAGGGUACGUAGGCGGUUUAGUAUGUCAGAUGUGAAAGCCCGAGGCUCAACCUCGGAAUUGCAUUUGAAACUGCUUAACUUGAGUAUUGUAUGGGAUGGCGGAACUUCUAGUGUAGGGGUGAAAUCCGUAGAUAUUAGAAAGAACACCAAAGGUGAAGACAGCUAUCUAGACAAUUACUGACGCUGAGGUACGAAGGCGUGGGGAGCAAACAGGAUUAGGUACCCUGGUAGUCCACGCAGUAAACGAUGAAUGCUAGGUGUCUGGGCCUUGAGCCUGGGUGCCGUAGUUAAUACGUUAAGCAUUCCGCCUGGGGAGUACGAUCGCAAGAUUAAAACUCAAAGGAAUUGACGGGGACCCGCACAAGCGGUGGAGCAUGUGGUUUAAUUCGAUAUUACGCGAAGAACCUCACCAACUCUUGACAUACCAAUCGCAGAGAACAGAGAUGUUUUCCUUCAGUUAGGCUGGAUUGGAUACAGGUGUUGCAUGGCUGUCGUCAGCUCGUGCCGUGAGGUGUUAGGUUAAGUCCUUUAACGAGCGCAACCCCUAUCUUUAUUUGCCAUCAGGUUAUGCUGGGAACUAUAAAGAAACUGCCGUUGAUAAAACGGAGGAAGAUGGGGAUGAUGUCAAGUCAUCACGGCCCUUAUGAGUUGGGCUACACACAUGCUACAAUGGAAAUUACAACGGGAAGCAAAAGAGCAAUCUAGAGCCAAUCCUUCAAAAAUUUUCUUAGUUCGGAUUGCAGGCUGCAACUUGCCUGCAUGAAGCUGGAAUCGCUAGUAAUCGUGGAUCAGCACGCCACGGUGAAUACGUUCUCGGGUCUUGUACACACUGCUC